GGGGCAGCCAUGUUUGGCCCAUCUGCAUAGAUACACAGAAAAGAACUCAUCUGCCUAAAAAGGAAAGACUAAAGCAUGAAGGAGAGGCUAUUAACUUAUUAAAUCAACAAAUACUAAGUAUCUACUGUUCCAGCCAUUUACAGUUGAAUUUUCUGUCUUUUGGAACCAAAAUGAUCUGACUGGAAAUGGUAAACUCUACUCACUUUCUCCAAGAGCUCAUGAUAGAAACCAUGUUCGGACAUCAAAUUUUUUAAAACGUUGAUGGCUACAGAGACGGAUAUAACUAAUAAAGUCAAUGUGCACCAUAGAUGAGACACCAAAAGCAGUA